CCAAGCUUAAUUCCAAAGCAGUUUGAUAAGUCUGGAGGUCUGAGAUCACAGAACGUCCAGGCCAAGACUUGCCCAGUCAGAAUGAAACAUGUUUCUGGAGAACAGGAAGCAAGGCCAUGUGCUGAGAAGGAGGAGCCAGCACAGGGUGGAGUGGUGAAGGGCCGCUCUGCCCUAGCAGCGUCUCAAUGGUGAGCCUAUAUGUAUUUCCCACUGGGCACAGCAGAGCGUCAGGGAUUGAGGGGUCUGUGUGUGU
rnacentral:lncRNA from 10 species